UACGGGGGGAGCAAGCGUUGUUCGGAUUUACUGGGCGUAAAGGGCGCGUAGGCGGUCAGCACAAGUCAGUUGUGAAAUCUCCGGGCUUAACUCGGAAAGGUCAACUGAUACUGUGCGACUAGAGUGCGGAAGGGGCAACUGGAAUUCUCGGUGUAGCGGUGAAAUGCGUAGAUAUCGAGAGGAACACCUGCGGCGAAGGCGGGUUGCUGGGCCGACACUGACGCUGAGGCGCGAAAGCUAGGGGAGCAAACGGG
rnacentral:rRNA from 1 species